AAAUUGAAGAGUUUGAUCAUGGCUCAGAUUGAACGCUGGCGGCAGGCCUAACACAUGCAAGUCGAACGGUAACAGGAAGCAGCUUGCUGCUUUGCUGACGAGUGGCGGACGGGUGAGUAAUGUCUGGGAAACUGCCUGAUGGAGGGGGAUAACUACUGGAAACGGUGGCUAAUACCGCAUAACGUCGCAAGACCAAAGAGGGGGACCUUCGGGCCUCUUGCUAUCAGAUGUGCCCAGAUGGGAUUAGCUUGUUGGUGAGGUAACGGCUCACCAAGGCGACGAUCCCUAGCUGGUCUGAGAGGAUGACCAGCCACACUGGAACUGAGACACGGUCCAGACUCCUACGGGAGGCAGCAGUGGGGAAUAUUGCACAAUGGGCGCAAGCCUGAUGCAGCCAUGCCGCGUGUAUGAAGAAGGCCUUCGGGUUGUAAAGUACUUUCAGCGGGGAGGAAGGUGUUGUGGUUAAUAACC
rnacentral:rRNA from 3 species